UACGGAGGUGGCAAGCGUUGCUCGGAAUCACUGGGCGUAAAGGGCGCGUAGGCGGUCUGUUAAGUUCGGUGUGAAAUCCCCUGGCUCAACUGGGGGACUGCGCUGAAAACUGGCGGACUCGAGUACCGGAGAGGAGAGUGGAAUUCCCAGUGUAGAGGUGAAAUUCGUAGAUAUUGGGAAGAACACCGGUGGUGAAGGCGGCUCACUGGUCCGAUACUGACGCUGAGGUGCGAAAGCGUGGGGAGCAAACAGG
rnacentral:rRNA from 1 species